rnacentral:rRNA from 1 species
CCCUUAGACGUUCUGGGCCGCACGCGCGCUACACUGACAAAGGCAACGAGCUACUCUUCACCGAAAGGUGUGGGUAAUCUUUUGAAACUUUGUCGUGCUGGGGAUAGAUCCUUGCAAUUUUUGAUCUUAAACGAGGAAUUCCUAGUAAGCGCAAGUCAUCAACUUGCGUUGAUUACGUCCCUGCCCUUUGUACACACCGCCCGUCGCUACUACCGAUUGAAUGGUUUAGUGAGGCCUUCGGAUCCGCGACUCGUUUGUGGAGAAGUUAGACAAACUCAGUCAUUUAGAGGAAGUAAAAGUCGUAACA